ACGUAGGGUGCGAGCGUUGUCCGGAAUUAUUGGGCGUAAAGAGCUUGUAGGCGGUUUGUCGCGUCUGUCGUGAAAGUCCGAGGCUCAACCUCGGAUCUGCGGUGGGUACGGGCAGACUAGAGUGAUGUAGGGGAGACUGGAAUUCCUGGUGUAGCGGUGAAAUGCGCAGAUAUCAGGAGGAACACCGAUGGCGAAGGCAGGUCUCUGGGCAUUUACUGACGCUGAGGAGCGAAAGCAUGGGGAGCGAACAGGA
rnacentral:rRNA from 1 species